ACCUUCUGCUCAAGGAGGGCUGGGGCCUGCGGCGCGCGCAUCCGCCAAGGCAAAGCUGCUGGCUUGGGGGCGAAUUCCUCCCUUCGCCACGUGACGGACUGAAACACCUUGCCACCCACUAAAGACAAUUUUUUUUUGCUUAUCGGACCUGGGAUUCCCUCAAGUUGCGGGAAAUGAGGUGUAACUUUACUGAAAACAACACGUUUGGGACAGGGUGAGCCAGACAGAUGCAUGAGGGGCAUCGGGUCGCCAGCUCCACCAAAUGCAGUCAGCAAACGCUGGCCAAGCACCCGAUUUGGCUGGAGUCGAAAGAAAUGGAAAAUUCUGAGGAUCCCCAGAGGGUUACACCUGUCGAGUACGCGAACAGAUGUGUAAUAUUUUUUCCUUGACUAACGCUAGCCUCCAUAGAGAGCUGAUGAUUUCCAAGCUUUAAAAGACCCUAUCAACUCUGUUGCUUGAUCCUGCUUAAAAAUCACAUUAACUAUUGCCAUUUCAAGACUUUUUAAUCCUCACAUCCACCUCCUAAACCACAAUGGCAUUGUUAUGCCCCCUUCAGAGCUAAGGAGCUGUGGCAGAGUAACUCUCCAGUAAGGUGACGUUGAGGUGGAUUAUGAAGCUGGACAAUGAACAUCAUCCUACUGACAUCCUAAAAGCAUCUUGAAUAACACCAGAGUACAUUGAUCUGCAAGAAUGAGGAAAGGUGGAAUGAAGAACACACUAUCAAAGGCCACAACAUGGGACCGAGACUUUGUGUUUGCCCGAUGAUCGACCAAGGAGCCCCGCGACAGGUUGCAGACUCGCUGCUUCCCAAGCAGACUCCCAUCUGGAGGUGGAUCCCAAGCAAGGAUGCUUCAUUUCACACCUGGGCUCUGUUCUGUUCCCUCAUGUACGACGUCACAUUUGGCUGUUUUAAAACAAGUAUCAGGUUUUCACCUGGCACAGUCUGACACUCCUUUUGCUCUGACCUAUGCAGAUACCGGGAUGACUCAGGCCAUCCCAUUUCUGCUUUUUAAGUACUGCCACAACAUUAGCUCUCUUUCAAUGCUCUGAAACUUCAGCAUUCAAAGACCUUUUGAACACUCAGAGUGACUGAUCUGGAGGCUGCUCCACCAGCUCCUUUAGAAAUCGGAUAGGAAAAUCAAGGCCCUAAAUCAUCCUCAUAAUUAAAGCUGGUUUUGUGCAUCAUUCACACAUAAUUGCAUUAGACUAAGUCCUCACUACAUUUUGAUUUAUUUGAUUUCCUUCCACCUGUUUAAACUAGCACUGAGGUUUCAGGAAGACUGUGGUUUUCCUCAGCCCUUUUCUAUACCUAUUUCUCUACUGCUGUGAAAGGUGAGUAAUGACAUCAUUUGUAAGUGGAAAAUUAGGGUAGACACCAUUUUUUAAUGGUUUUCGUUACUCUGGCUCAAAAUAUAUAGCUCUUAGCAGUUACAAUUCCUUUUUUCUGUAUAUGUACACACACAAACUUAUGAGUCUCUCAUUUCUCCUGUGCCUACCUUAUAAUGAAUACACGCAUGUUAUCUUCCUUUUCUAAGCUUUCUUUCUAGAUAGGCAUUUCCCCCAUUUAAACUAUAACAAUAGGUCUCUGGAUUUCCAGUGAGAAGGCUCAACACGAAAUCUGAAAGCAUAUUCAUCAUAAUGUUCCAUAGGUACAGCAUUUCUCUUCUUUUAAAAAUCAAAAUAUGCUGAUUUCAAUAUUCUAUUCUUUAAUCACAUUAUUUUAGAGAUAUAUUUAUUGACAAGAACAUACAGAAGUACCUCACUGUUCAGUGCAGCUCUAUUUCUGUUUUGGAAAAAACCCAAAAAUAUCUCUUUGUGAUUUAAAUUUAUUUUAUAGACACAUUUACCAAUAUUUUGCAAACACUAUCUUGAUUAUUCAUAUUACAUUUCUCACUCUAAAAUAAAUACUGGAUUGACAAGCAAUUAGUACAGUUACUUCAGUUUUUUUGAAAAAUUCAAGGGACAUUUAAAGGUAAUAAAAAUACACUGUUCUUUCCAUUUUUUUCAAAAUUUCCAUAAAAUUUGCACUAUUAGUAAGACCGUUGAUUUCAAUGCAAUAGACAUUUUUUAUUGUCUACUCUUGAAAGUAUACUUCAAUAAGUAGAUUACUGGACUACAACCUAGGAUAUGUGUGUUUUUUUACCACUUCUACAGCUGGCCUGCUUUUCUAUGCCUCAAGUUUCCCCAUUUGUGAAAUAUGAUAAAAAACCUGGGUACAUUAUCAUCUAUCAUCAUCAUCAGAAUUAAUAAAAAUAUUUCCUGUGUAAAGUAUUAUUUAACGUUCGUUAAGAUGUUGGUGUCAAGCUCUAAAUUUAGUUUAGCUGUUUUUUCCUAUAUAGUUUCAUUCCAGUUAAUGGCAAUCUACAUAUUAAACUUUUACAGUCAGCGUACGCUAACACGACCUCACUUCUGCUUUGCAGGUGAAGUAUCGAAAAUGUGUGUUGUGCUCUAAGUGCAACCAGUUAAACUCUGUAAAAUUAAAAACCUCUCCAAAAAAUAAAUUAUUCAUAGAAUUCAGUCAGAAUUCAUAUAUCACAUUAAGCUGCAUAAGGUGACUUUCAAGCCACACUCGGGACCCACCAGCUAGGUCAAUUUCUGAGGGUAAAGCACUAUCCUGCGACAUAAAACAUGCAUGAAACGCACACAAUUGCUUUUCAGCCACUUAUAUCUUCAGCAUACCUGAAGUCAUCUUAUUCGCUUUACUUUUAGUUACAGCUUAUAGGGACAAAAUCUGAGAAGAAACGGUCUAGAUCAUAUCAUUCCAAAGAACUUUUAGCGCUACAAAGUGGGCAGCUGCCCCUGCAAAACUAUUUUGCAGAAAAGUAUAGGAGAUCAAAUCUUUCCCCUCUUUUGAAGAGGAAUAGCUUUGCUUUCCUCUGCAGGAGUCAAAGGAGGAGGAUGGAUGGUAGCUAUGAGAGAAAGACAAGUGCAAUUGGCUGCUUCGAAUAUAACUGCAUAAGAGCAGAAAGUGACUGCAAUGCUGCAUCCAAACAGCAAAUUAGAAAUUUGUGUUGUGAUAUUGUGUUACGAUGUUACAAUGCAUAGCAAGGGCAUUUGUGGAAUUCAGUCCUGGAUAAACCAGAGGACUAUUUCUUCUCUCUUUUCCAUUCCUUUCUCUCCCUCUCUGCAAUGCCAUUUCCUACUGAAGCGGCAUACUGGUUCUUCAAGGUCGAGUGGCCCUAAUGUAUGCAUUAUAAUUGAUUCUAAAUUAAUAACAAAAAUGAAAGGCAAUUUUCUGCAAUGCAAAGCAUUGCUUUUUCUGAAGAGACAAAUCCAGCACAUCAAAGAUGUCUUUUAAAAGUUCUGCCUAGAAAAUGACCGCCUUUGUGGCAAAAUGAUUACUGUCAUCUCCAGAAUGAUUCAUAUUCUACUAGCAAAUUGAGGUUCCUCUUUCUCAUGUAUUUAAAUAUACAUAUUAUUUUAAAUUUACAUAUUAUUCACCAAUGCCAACUGCAAGACUAAGUGAAAACUAAGCUGAAAUACAGCUUCUCAGAACAAUACUCCUUAGCAUAUCAUUUUUUUUUUUCUGUGGUGCUUUUUGAGUCUUUCUCCAAAGAGGUUCCUACAUACUUUUUUGGAAAAGUCAGCAUCUCAGACACUUUACUUAUUUCUUUUUUGUGUGUGCAUACCCUCCUAUUAGUGCUUCAGAAGCCUUUAUUGAGAACCAGUAUAUUCAUUUGGAAGUCCACAGCCUCCAUUCACACUUGGAGCUGUGUUCAGUAUUGGCUAGUGCUGAUUGAUUUAAGGUAGCAGAGGGUGGGCAACUUCAGGUUUGCUUGGGUGCCACAGUCGAAUUGUUUUCUGCUAAUGGGCUUUUUACACCAGCUUAGAAAAGCAGAACUGUGUGGAGCAAAAUACUCGUUUGUUUGCACUUUCUGAAAAUUGGGACGUUAUCAGAGCACUCAGAGACCCACUAUGUCUGUGCUAAACUCCCAGAUCAAUAAAGGAUUUCUUCCUGCAAAA